rnacentral:rRNA from 1 species
AUUGAACGCUGGCGGCAGGCUUAACACAUGCAAGUCGAGCGGGGAAAGGUAGCUUGCUACCUACCUAGCGGCGGACGGGUGAGUAAUGCUUAGGAAUCUGCCUAUUAGUGGGGGACAACAUUCCGAAAGGAAUGCUAAUACAGCAUACGCCCUACGGGGACAGCAGGGGAUCUUCCGACCUGGUCCUAAUAGAUGAGCCUAAGUCAGAUUAGCUAGUUGGUGGGGUAAAGGCCUACCAAGGCGACGAUCUGUAGCGGGUCUGAGAGGAUGAUCCGCCACACUGGGACUGAGACACGGCCCAGACUCCUACGGGAGGCAGCAGUGGGGAAUAUUGGACAAUGGGCGAAAGCCUGAUCCAGCCAUGCCGCGUGUGUGAAGAAGGCCUUUUGGUUGUAAAGCACUUUAAGCGAGGAAGAGGCUACUUGGAAUAAUACUCUAGGAUAGUGGACGUUACUCGCAGAAUAAGCACCGGCUAACUCUGUGCCAGCAGCCGCCGUAA